rnacentral:rRNA from 1 species
GACAGAGGGUGCAAACGUUGUUCGGAAUUACUGGGCGUAAAGCGCGUGUAGGCGGCCAUCUAAGUCGGGCGUGAAAUCCCACGGCUCAACCGUGGAAGUGCACUCGAAACUGGAUGGCUAGAGUCCUGGAGAGGAAGGUGGAAUGCUUGGUGUAGAGGUGAAAUUCGUAGAUAUCAAGCGGAACACCGGUGGCGAAGGCGGCCUUCUGGACAGUGACUGACGCUGAGACGGCGAAAAGCGUGGGGAGCAAACAGG